rnacentral:rRNA from 1 species
GACGAACGCUGGCGGGGGGAGGAACACAUGUAAGUCGAACGGCAAGGCACUGCUUUUGUGGGGUGAUGGAGUGGGGAAGGGGUGAGUAAGAGGUGAGUAAAGUGAUAUUGAUUUUGGGAUAACUUCAGGAAACUGGGGCUAAUACCGGAUAGGAGCUCCCGCUGCAUGGUGGGGGUUGGAAAGUCUCGGCGGUUGGGGAUGGACUCGCGGCUUAUCAGCUUGUUGGUGGGGUAGUGGCUUACCAAGGCUUUGACGGGUAGCCGGCCUGUGAGGGUGACCGGCCACAUUGGGACUGAGAGACGGCCCAGACUCCUACGGGAGGCAGCAGUGGGGAAUAUUGCACAAUGGGCGGAAGCCGGAUGCAGCAACGCCGCGGGCGGGAUGACGGCCUUCGUUGUGUAAACCGCUGUCGCCUGUGACGAAGCGGGAGUGGCGGUAAUGGGUAAAGAAGCACCGGCUCCCUACGUC